rnacentral:rRNA from 1 species
CGGCGGACGGGUGAGUAACACGUGGAUAACCUACCUAUAAGACUGGGAUAACUUCGGGAAACCGGAGCUAAUACCGGAUAAUAUAUUGAACCGCAUGGUUCAAUAGUGAAAGACGGUUUUGCUGUCACUUAUAGAUGGAUCCGCGCCGCAUUAGCUAGUUGGUAAGGUAACGGCUUACCAAGGCAACAUGCGUAGCCGACCUGAGAGGGUGAUCGGCCACACUGGAACUGAGACACGGUCCAG